rnacentral:lncRNA from 1 species
GUCGAUGUUGGGAAAUGUUUUAACAUCUGGAGCCUUUGUGGGUGGAAAUCUGUCUCCAAUUACAACUCUGCACUGGAUGUGAAGAAGCAAAAACUAUUCCGUCUACUCACAGAACAGUACUUUCUGGAAUAUUAUGGGGAAUUGUACCAAACAAGAACCACGUAAGCAAUGCCUAGGGAUAAGGAGGAGGAAAAGCACAUGGUCCACAACAAAGGGCACCUAAGAGUGGGAAGCUGCAACAGUAAGGAAGCUUUUUAUUAAAGGUUUUAUAUAAAUUUUCCCACAUCAUGGGGCCUUGUUUUGCAUGCUGAUGAAGAGCUACUUAGAACUAACGAUUAAAAUCAGCUGCCUCCCCUGGUUAGACGCAGGUUCUUGAAAGUUACAAUUUAAGGUACCCCCAAAAAGUUGGAAAUAAAAGGAAACAAAUUUGAACAACGAAGCACCCUGUGACAUGCCGACGCGCCACUCCUUUUACCUUUGCGGGCUGGGCAGGGAGGGAGGAAUCAAUGGGGUCGGGGUCAAAGGAAAGGUGACAUCUAAUUUUACAUUAAAACGUUAGUGGAUAUAAGUUCAUGGUUGUACUUCUUAGAUUUAAUUUCUAGGCCGACAUGUUAUCUAAGGUGCAGUUUAAGGUCCAGGCAUGCGCUCGGGCUCAUAGUGAUUGACGUGGUGUGCAUUAGUGACCGCAGCAUGCUCGCCUCAUAGAGUGCGGUUGGUAUCCAUUCACCGAUGUCGCGCCAGUUUGGGUUGCCGUUUACCAGUUCAAUAUAGCCCUGCAUUUAAAAUUCCUUUUGAGAUUCGUGGAUUUUAUUUUUAUUAAGAAUAUAGAUAUAUAAAGUACUGUAGUUUACAACUAGGCCUUGAAAUAUCUUUUUAGGAUCUGUUAGGAAUAAGAUUGAUAUUGUAUUGUGUGUAACCUGCACAAUGUGGAAAGCUGAUAUACCUGUGCAAAAUCUUUGCCUCUGUGCUGUCAGUGUGGUGUGCUUUCUGCAUGGUUAUAUGCGACUAGUAAUUUUAUCAAAUUUCAAAUUACAUGGUAAAAGAUCUGUAAAAGGCUGCAUAAAUGUUAGUUGGCACAUAAAGACAAUUGUAGAAGUUGAAACAUGAUUGCUAUAUUUCAAUGUUUAUUCCCACUCAACAUAUUGCCUCUAAGCUUUCCUUUAAUUUUUUUUUUUAUUUUUAUUUGUGUUCGAAGCAUGAUCUUAAAGAUAUGUUUAAGUUAAUGGAUGUAAUGCAGGGUUCCUACACUGUAUUGGCGCAUGUUGGUGGCCCUCUGUGUCCUAGGCUUGUGCACAUAGGGCACGUACAAAGCUACAGAGUGAGAGUUGGUUUGGAUCCUCUUCAUUUCAUUUGUUUGGCUUUUCUGUUAUUUUUUUCCCUCUACUUACAUGUAUUUCUGUGAAUAAAUCCUUGUUAAGUUAACCCUUUACUUUUCCUUCCAUGUGUAUUUUCUUAUAUACUGUGAAUGUGAAGACCCUAACUGGUACACUUGAUCUUAUGUCCAUAUGAAAGUGCAAAUCUUUAUUAAUUUGGAUUGCCUGAGCAGUGUGUAUCCCAUGAUGAUGAAGGAAAAUGGAGAGAUUUUUCCUUUUAGCUCUGCUGGUCAGAGAUGAAGCCACACCUUUCCAUUUUUCAAUGCUGCAUAUUUAAUCUGCAAAAAAAGUUAAGCCAUAACAGCCUUUUUCUAUUUUACUUUGUCACCUUUGCAUUGCAGAAUAAAUACCGAAUAACCGUUUUUUAUAAGCAGUCGCUCCUCUUUGCAUGGUUCUGUUCUAUAAAAGUGACUGAUAACGGCCAUUGCACUGAAGUGUGAGCUGUGUGUGUGUGUGUGACUUUAUAAAUACAAUUUUAAAACAUUUCACAUGCAUGGUAGCAUGCACAAAGGUUU